UGGGGAAUAUUGCACAAUGGGGGAAACCCUGAUGCAGCGACGCCGCGUGAGCGAAGAAGGUUUUCGAAUCGUAAAGCUCUGUCCUAUGGGAAGAUAAUGACGGUACCAUAGCAGGAAGCCCCGGCUAACUACGUGCCAGCAGCCGCGGUAAUACGUAGGGGGCAAGCGUUGUCCGGAAUCACUGGGCGUAAAGGGUUCGCAGGCGGAAAUGCAAGUCAGUUGUGAAAGGCAGAGGCUCAACCUCUGUAAGCAAUUGAAACUGUAUUUCUUGAGAUGUGGAGAGGCAAGGGGAAUUCCUAGUGUAGCGGUGAAAUGCGUAGAUAUUAGGAAGAAUCCCGGUGGCGAAGGCGACUUGCUGGACACAAACUGACGCUGAGGAACGAAAGCGUGGGUAGCAAACAGG
rnacentral:rRNA from 1 species